rnacentral:rRNA from 1 species
CCGGCACGGGUGAGUAACACGUAUCCAACCUGCCGUCUACUCUUGGACAGCCUUCUGAAAGGAAGAUUAAUACAAGAUGGCAUCAUGAGUCCGCAUGUUCACAUGAUUAAAGGUAUUCCGGUAGACGAUGGGGAUGCGUCCCAUUGAUAGUAGGCGGGGUAACGGCCCACCUAGUCUUCGAUGGAUAGGGGUUCUGAGAGGAAGGUCCCCCACAUUGGAACUGAGACACGGUCCAA